rnacentral:rRNA from 1 species
ACAGUGGACGCGAGCAUCUGUGGCCAAGUUUUUAAGGGCGCACGGUGGAUGCCUUGGCACCAGGAACCGAUGAAGGACGUGGGAGGCCACGAUAGGCCCCGGGGAGCUGUCAACCGAGCUUUGAUCCGGGGGUGUCCGAAUGGGGAAACCCGGCAGUCGUCAUGGGCUGUCACCCGCUGCUGAACACAUAGGCAGUGUGGAGGGAACGCGGGGAAGUGAAACAUCUCAGUACCCGCAGGAAGAGAAAACAACCGUGAUUCCGGGAGUAGUGGCGAGCGAAACCGGAUGAGGCCAAACCGUAUGUGUGUGAUACCCGGCAGGGGUUGCGCAUGCGGGGUUGUGGGAUCUCUUUUUCAUAGUCUGCCGGCUGUGAGACGAGUCAGAAACCGUUGAUGUAGGCGAAGGACAUGCGAAAGGUCCGGCGUAGAGGGUAAGACCCCCGUAGCUGAAACAUUGACGGCUCGUUUAAGAGACACCCAAGUAGCACGGGGCCCGAGAAAUCCCGUGUGAAUCUGGCGGGACCACCCGCUAAGCCUAAAUAUUCCCUGGUGACCGAUAGCGGAUAGUACCGUGAGGGAAUGGUGAAAAGUACCGCGGGAGCGGAGUGAAAUAGUACCUGAAACCGUGUGCCUACAAGCCGUGGGAGCGUCGCGCAUCGAGCUUGCUCGGUGCGUCGUGACUGCGUGCCUUUUGAAGAAUGAGGCCUGCGAGUUUUGCGGUAUGUUGCGAGGUUAACCCGUGUGGGGAAGCCGUAGCGAAAGCGAGUCCGAAUAGGGCGUUUGAGUAGCGUGCCCAAGACCGAAGCGGAGUGAUCUAGCCAUGGGCAGGUUGAAGCGGAGGUAAGACUUCGUGGAGGACCGAACCCACCAGGGUUGAAAACCUGGGGGAUGACCUGUGGUUAGGGGUGAAAGGCCAAUCAAACUCCGUGAUAGCUGGUUCUCCCGAAAUGCAUUUAGGUGCAGCGUCGUGUGUUUCUUGCCGGAGGUAGAGCACUGGAUAGGCGAUGGGCCCUACCGGGUUACUGACCUUAGCCAAACUCCGAAUGCCGGUAAGUGAGAGCGCGGCAGUGAGACUGUGGGGGAUAAGCUCCAUGGUCGAGAGGGAAACAGCCCAGAGCAUCGACUAAGGCCCCUAAGCGUACGCUAAGUGGGAAAGGAUGUGGAGUCGCAGAGACAACCAGGAGGUUGGCUUAGAAGCAGCCACCCUUGAAAGAGUGCGUAAUAGCUCACUGGUCAAGUGAUUCCGCGCCGACAAUGUAGCGGGGCUCAAGCGUACCGCCGAAGUCGUGUCAUUGCAGUACAUACCCCCAACGGGGACUGUGAUGGGUAGGGGAGCGUCGUGUGCCGGGUGAAGCAGCCGCGGAAGCGAGUUGUGGACGGUUCACGAGUGAGAAUGCAGGCAUGAGUAGCGAUACACACGUGAGAAACGUGUGCGCCGAUUGACUAAGGGUUCCUGGGUCAAGCUGAUCUGCCCAGGGUAAGUCGGGACCUAAGGCGAGGCCGACAGGCGUAGUCGAUGGACAACCGGUUGAUAUUCCGGUACCCGCUUUGAAACGCCCAAUAUCGAAUCAGGCGAUGCUAAGUCCGUGAAGCCGCCCUGGAGUCUUCGGACAAAGGGGAGUGGUGGAGCCGACGAACCAGACUUGUAGUAGGUAAGCGAUGGGGUGACGCAGGAAGGUAGUCCAGCCCGGGCGGUGGUAGUCCCGGGGUAAGGGUGUAGGCCGUGUGAUAGGCAAAUCCGUCACACAUUAAGGCUGAGACCUGAUGCCGAGCCGAUUGUGGUGAAGUGGAUGAUCCUAUGCUGUCGAGAAAAGCCUCUAGCGAGUUUCAUGGCGGCCCGUACCCUAAACCGACUCAGGUGGUCAGGUAGAGAAUACCGAGGCGUUCGGG